rnacentral:rRNA from 1 species
CACGUAGGGUGCGAGCGUUGUCCGGAAUUAUUGGGCGUAAAGAGCUCGUAGGCGGUGUGUCGCGUCGGCCGUGAAAACCUGCAGCUUAACUGUGGGCGUGCGGUCGAUACGGGCAUCACUGGAGUUCGGCAGGGGGAGACUGGAAUUCGUGGUGUAGACGGUGAAAUGCGCAGGAUAGUCAGGAGGAACACCGGUGGCGAAGGCGGGUCUCUGG